GAUGAACGCUGGCGGCGUGCCUAAUACAUGCAAGUAGAACGCUGAAGCUUGGUGCUUGCACCGAGCGGAUGAGUUGCGAACGGGAGAGUAACGCGUAGGUAACCUGCCUCUUAGCGGGGGAUAACUAUUGGAAACGAUAGCUAAUACCGCAUAAAAGUCGAUAUCGCAUGAUAUUGAUUUGAAAUGUGCAAGUGCAUCACUAAGAGACGGACCUGCGUUGUAUUAGCUAGUUGGUGAGGUAACGGCUCACCAAGGCGACGUUACAUAGCCGCCCUGAGAGGGUGAGCGGCCACACUGGGACGGAGACACGGCCCAGACUGCUACGGGUGGGAGCCGUAGGGAAUCUUGAGGCAUGGGGGCAGCAGUGACCGAGCUACGCCGCGUGAGUGAAGAAGGUUGUCGUGUCGUAGAGGUCUGUUGUAAGAGAAGAACGAGUGUGAGAGUGGAACGUUCAGACUGUGACGGUAACUGAACAGAAAGCGACGGCUAACUACGUG
rnacentral:rRNA from 1 species